AAGCAAGGGAGAUAUUGAAUUUAAUCAUCACUGCAUUUUUCAUGACUAUAGUUCCCAUCUGGAAAUGCAAAUUUACAAAUUAAAACAUCAAUAACAUUCUUUCCUAGGAUAACUGAGGAUCUCUCUGCCACAGACUUCCCUGGGUCCUCUACUACCCUCUGCACCUCUAGGACUAUCAUGGCAGCAAGGAGAACUUCUAAUUUUUUUUCCCCAUUCUAAGCACUACCACCUGAAGGGAACCAUACCCUGGUUUCUAAUGCCAAAUAUUAA
rnacentral:lncRNA from 1 species